GAUGAACGCUGGCGGCGUGCCUAAUACAUGCAAGUCGAGCGAACAGACGAGGAGCUUGCUCCUCUGACGUUAGCGGCGGACGGGUGAGUAACACGUGGAUAACCUACCUAUAAGACUGGGAUAACUUCGGGAAACCGGAGCUAAUACCGGAUAAUAUAUUGAACCGCAUGGUUCAAUAGUGAAAGACGGUUUUGCUGUCACUUAUAGAUGGAUCCGCGCCGCAUUAGCUAGUUGGUAAGGUAACGGCUUACCAAGGCAACGAUGCGUAGCCGACCUGAGAGGGUGAUCGGCCACACUGGAACUGAGACACGGUCCGGACUCCUACGGGAGGCAGCAGUAGGGAAUCUUCCGCAAUGGGCGAAAGCUUGACGGAGCAACGCCGCGUGAGUGAUGAAGGUCUUCGGAUCGUAAAACUCUGUUAUUAGGGAAGAACAAAUGUGUAAGUAACUAUGCACGUCUUGACGGUACCUAAUCAGAAAGCCACGGCUAACUACGUG
rnacentral:rRNA from 1 species